AACAUUGUCCCUUGGUGCUGUUCACGCAGACCAUAGUCACUGGGCGUGUUGCGAUGUGGUAAAGUGUGCGUGUGUGUGUGCUGUGAUGUGCGUGCAACGCUCGUAAGCCUGCUGUCACCUAAUGAGCGUGGGGAGCAGAGCAGGGCAAUGUGCUGUCACGGGCUCUGAGACCACACGGAGUCACGCAGCAACGACCGUGCUGGAGGAUGAGUGGGAAUGGCCACAAUGCGUUGUGAGCUGGAAUGUGACCGCAGGGAACCAUUUGUUUCGUCACCUGGUUCUAAUGCUGCCAAAGCUUUUUGCACAGUACCAGCUCAGGCUGCAUCAGCCAUCACUGCACCUGUGGAUGCGGCGCAGGCACAGCCCUGUGACACAGUCAGAAGCAAACAGGUCGGGUAAGGAGUGAACAACACGUGGUGUCGUUAAAAGAGCUUUACAGCGGUCAUUCCACGUGCCAGCUUCAUGAGGAAUUUAGAGAAGCAUUUCAGGAAUCUUUGUUCUGCGUUGUAGAAGCAAUGCAUGCCAUGGCCCUGUCCUGGAGGCCCAUGUGGGAAUACAGUGUGCACAAAUACCUCAUCUGCAGCGGAGUGUCUCCUACAGUCUGACAGCUGCACGGGGAUCAUACGCUCAGUGAAGAAUGGCUUCAAACACAAACACCAGCCUACAGAAACCUGCGGCGUUCACAGAAGGGACUCCACAAUGAGAUUUGCAAUUCCUAUUAAAGUAGCUUAAAUAGCUCUGAAACCGU
rnacentral:lncRNA from 1 species